rnacentral:lncRNA from 12 species
CACUGACUGGCCUUCUUUCUUCUUUGCCUCUUUAAACCUACCUGCUACAAUUCAGUCUCAAUGACACCCUAAAUGGUAAAUCUGACCACACCUGCCUCUGUGCUGACCUGUCUUUCCACCUCACCAGCUCCAUAUUUCUUCACUUCAUGGGCUAUGUUUCUGUAAAACCGAGCUACCUACUUACCCCAAGUUUUCAUAUCUAUUUUUAACCUUGCCUCUUCCUGGAAUGCUCAUCUCCCUGGCCAUCCCCAGGCUAGAUCAUAUUCAUCAUUCAGGUAUGAGUAAGGACUCAGGUGUUACAUGCUCCAGGAAGCUUUCCUGAAGCACCGGGGUUAAACUGUAUCACCCUGGGUAUUGUUCUAUGGUAGUACCCAUCUCCAGAUUCUGUGCUUAUGCCCAUCUUCUAGAUCAAACUAAAAUCCCCUUGGGCAGGCCCUUUGUCAUAUUAAUUCUGAAGUGCCCACUCCUCAACUGAGGACCUGAUGCUUAGUAGACAUUCAAUGAAUGUUUGCUGAACCGAACUGGUUUCUGACUCCCAUACAUUCUGAUUAUAUCCUUGUCAACAAAUCUCUCCCUACUGCUUGCACAGCUUUUGGCUUUAUGAUAAGGUCAAAUGGGACAGGACCUGGGUCUAGGCUUAAUUUCCCUCUAGAACACAGCAUCUAUGCUGAGCAUAACAUGAGGCUCCAUGCCCAGCAUGGAGCCCAAUGAAGGGCCUGAACUCACAACCCUGAGAUCAAGACCUGUGCUGAGAUCAAGAGUCAGAUGCUUAACCGACUGAGCUACCUAGGUGCCCCAAUACAUAUUUUCAAGUGAGUAACUGGGAUCCAGAAGCCAGUGGGAAUAACUUUGUGCCUACAAAGGCAGCCUCCAGGCAGAAAUGGUGAUAUAUGGGUUGAGGCAGCGAGAUGAGAGAUAAUGAAACCAUAACACCCUUAUCAAGAAGCUUAGAAACAAGGUCACCUUUUAUGUAUCCAGAAACACCCACUCAUUUCUUCCACACCUUGUCUUCCAUCCCAUCUGAGAUCUGACACUGAGAGGCUUCUCUCUGCUACCCCUAGACCUCAGGAUCACUUUUUUAUUUUCUGUAUAACACCAUGGCACCAACAGAUUUGUUUUAUACUGGAAUCCAUUUCUAACACACUCUUUUUUAUUUUUUAAAAAAGAUUUUAUUUAUUUAUUCAUGAGUCACACACAGAGAGAGAGAGAAAGAGAGAGGCAGAGACACAGGCAGAGGGAGAAGCA